UUAGUAUGAGCAUAUUAUUACGGAGUUCCAUGCUCUGCAAAAUAAGACAAAACAACCCAUUUUUCUCACAUGGUAUCAGAGUGUAUAUUCUUUGUCCUCCUGCUUCUUUUCCUUUUGAUCUUUUGGCCGUAAUUGUCAAAAAGCCAAAAAUUGCACAACCUUCAUUGCCAUUGGAUUUCCAUCUCCCUAAAACCAAAGAAUUGCACCUUCAUUUCUGGUCUAAAUUUUGCAUAGUAAAGAGGUCUUUUUGGACUUUUUGUUCAAAACAGGCAUUUUGGAAGCAAAAAUAUAGUUUUGCUUCCAUAUUCAAAUAAUCAAAAGAAAAAUGCAACAAGAAAAGCUCC
rnacentral:lncRNA from 1 species